rnacentral:rRNA from 1 species
GACGAACUCUGGCGGCGUGCCUAAUACAUGCAAGUUGAGCGCUGAAGGUUGGUACUUGUACCAACUGGAUGAGCAGCGAACGGGUGAGUAACGCGUGGGGAAUCUGCCUUUGAGCGGGGGACAACAUUUGGAAACGAAUGCUAAUACCGCAUAAAAACUUUAAACACAAGUUUUAAGUUUGAAAGAUGCAAUUACAUCACUCAAAGAUGAUCCCGCGUUGUAUUAGCUAGUUGGUGAGGUAAAGGCUCACCAAGGCGAUGAUACAUAGCCGACCUGAGAGGGUGAUCGGCCACAUUGGGACUGAGACACGGCCCAAACUCCUACGGGAGGCAGCAGUAGGGAAUCUUCGGCAAUGGACGAAAGUCUGACCGAGCAACGCCGCGUGAGUGAAGAAGGUUUUCGGAUCGUAAAACUCUGUUGGUAGAGAAGAACGUUGGUGAGAGUGGAAAGCUCAUCAAGUGACGGUAACUACCCAGAAAGGGACGGCUAACUACGUGCCAGCAGCCGCGGUAAUACGUAGGUCCCGAGCGUUGUCCGGAUUUAUUGGGCGUAAAGCGAGCGCAGGUGGUUUAUUAAGUCUGGUGUAAAAGGCAGUGGCUCAACCAUUGUAUGCAUUGGAAACUGGUAGACUUGAGUGCAGGAGAGGAGAGUGGAAUUCCAUGUGUAGCGGUGAAAUGCGUAGAUAUAUGGAGGAACACCGGUGGCGAAAGCGGCUCUCUGGCCUGUAACUGACACUGAGGCUCGAAAGCGUGGGGAGCAAACAGGAUUAGAUACCCUGGUAGUCCACGCCGUAAACGAUGAGUGCUAGAUGUAGGGAGCUAUAAGUUCUCUGUAUCGCAGCUAACGCAAUAAGCACUCCGCCUGGGGAGUACGACCGCAAGUUGAAACUCAAAGGAAUUGACGGGGGCCCGCACAAGCGGUGGAGCAUGUGGUUUAAUUCGAAGCAACGCGAAGAACCUUACCAGGUCUUGACAUACUCGUGCUAUUCCUAGAGAUAGGAAGUUCCUUCGGGACACGGGAUACAGGUGGUGCAUGGUUGUCGUCAGCUCGUGUCGUGAGAUGUUGGGUUAAGUCCCGCAACGAGCGCUACCCCUAUUGUUAGUUGCCAUCAUUAAGUUGGGCACUCUAACGAGACUGCCGGUGAUAAACCGGAGGAAGGUGGGGAUGACGUCAAAUCAUCAUGCCCCUUAUGACCUGGGCUACACACGUGCUACAAUGGAUGGUACAACGAGUCGCGAGACAGUGAUGUUUAGCUAAUCUCUUAAAACCAUUCUCAGUUCGGAUUGUAGGCUGCAACUCGCCUACAUGAAGUCGGAAUCGCUAGUAAUCGCGGAUCAGCACGCCGCGGUGAAUACGUUCCCGGGCCU